AUUGAACGCUGGCGGCAUGCUUUACACAUGCAAGUCGAACGGUAACAGGCCGCAAGGUGCUGACGAGUGGCGAACGGGUGAGUAAUGCAUCGGAACGUGCCCAGUCGUGGGGGAUAGCUACUCGAAAGAGUAGCUAAUACCGCAUACGAUCUAUGGAUGAAAGCGGGGGACCGUAAGGCCUCGCGCGAUUGGAGCGGCCGAUGUCAGAUUAGGUAGUUGGUGGGGUAAAGGCUCACCAAGCCAACGAUCUGUAGCUGGUCUGAGAGGACGACCAGCCACACUGGGACUGAGACACGGCCCAGACUCCUACGGGAGGCAGCAGUGGGGAAUUUUGGACAAUGGGCGCGAGCCUGAUCCAGCAAUGCCGCGUGCAGGAAGAAGGCCUUCGGGUUGUAAACUGCUUUUGUACGGAACGAAACGGCUCUGGUUAAUACCCGGGGCUAAUGACGGUACCGUAAGAAUAAGCACCGGCUAACUACGUG
rnacentral:rRNA from 1 species